GUGUCAGCAGCCGCGGUAAUACGAAGGGUGCAAGCGUUACUCGGAAUUACUGGGCGUAAAGCGUGCGUAGGUGGUUUGUUAAGUCUGAUGUGAAAGCCCUGGGCUCAACCUGGGAACUGCAUUGGAAACUGGCUUACUAGAGUGCGGUAGAGGGGUGUGGAAUUCCCGGUGUAGCAGUGAAAUGCGUAGAUAUCGGGAGGAACAUCUGUGGCGAAGGCGACACCCUGGACCAGCACUGACACUGAGGCACGAAAGCGUGGGGAGCAAACAGGAUUAGAUACCCUGGUAGUCC
rnacentral:rRNA from 1 species